GACGAACGCUGGCGGCGUGCUUAACACAUGCAAGUCGAACGGAAAGGCCCUGCUUUUGUGGGGUGCUCGAGUGGCGAACGGGUGAGUAACACGUGAGUAACCUGCCCUUGACUUUGGGAUAACUUCAGGAAACUGGUGCUAAUACCGGAUAGGAGCUCCUGCUGCAUGGUGGGGGUUGGAAAGUUUGGGCGGUUGGGGAUGGACUCGCGGCUUAUCAGCUUGUUGGUGGGGUAGUGGCUUACCAAGGCUUUGACGGGUAGCCGGCCUGGGAGGGUGACCGGCCACAUUGGGACUGCGAUACGGACCAGACUCCUACGGGAGGCAGCAGUGGGGAAUAUUGCACAAUGGGCGGAAGCCUGAUGCAGCAACGCCGCGUGCGGGAUGACGGCUUUCUGGUUGUAAACCGCUUUCGCCUGUGACGAAGCGUGAGUGACGGUAAUGGGUAAAGAAGCACCGGCUAACUACGUG
rnacentral:rRNA from 1 species